AUGGGUCGGCAAAAAAUUUGGAGGGAUAGGAUCGAUACCCACGACAGAUUGAUCAGGCAUUAUUUUGCGGAGAAUCCCACAUACUCCAAGUCGUAUUUUCGUUGCCGGUUUAGGAUGAGCACCGAGUUAUUCAGGCGCAUUGCAGAGAAACUAGCGAGCCAUGACCGAUUUUUUCAACGAAGGAGGAAUGCUGCCGGAGAGCUCGGGCAUAGCACCUUUCAGAAGGUGACAGACGCUUUGCGUAUGUUGGCAUACGAUAUCCCGGCUGAUUUAGUUGAUGAUCACUUGGCUAUGGAUGGGCAUGGAAUGGACGAUAAAGAGCAUCAUGAUUUGUACGUUGUUGUGUUUAUUGCACUAUUUGUUGUAUUGAACGAUAAACUGUUUGUUUGA
rnacentral:rRNA from 1 species